UACGUAGGGUGCAAGCGUUAAUCGGAAUUACUGGGCGUAAAGCGUGCGCAGGCGGUUUUGUAAGUCUGUCGUGAAAUCCCCGGACUCAACCUGGGAAUUGCGAUGGAGACUGCAAGGCUAGAAUCUGGCAGAGGGGGGUAGAAUUCCACGUGUAGCAGUGAAAUGCGUAGAGAUGUGGAGGAACACCGAUGGCGAAGGCAGCCCCCUGGGUCAAGAUUGACGCUCAUGCACGAAAGGCGUGGGAGCAAACAGGAUU
rnacentral:rRNA from 1 species